GUGGAUUCCCACUCCCACUCCCCACUCCAAAAAUGGGUGGGGCCCACGGAGUGGGAUUCCCACUCCCUUCCUAUUUAGAGGAAGUAAACGCUGGAGUGGGAGGAAUCCACACUCCUCACUCCCACUCCAGCAAGUAAACACAACAUAAGAGUUAUUCAGACAAAGGAGUGAGGUGAGGCCUUUAUCUUCCCUGAGGGAACUCGUUUGUUCCAGGCAACCGGGGGUUAACCUUUUGUGCGCUUGUAGCUCUUGAGGGGGGGUCGCUUUCCCUUCUAUCUAGGCAGCUAGUUAACUCUUAUGUGAUGUUUAGUUGGGAGGAGAGAAUGGGAGAGAGGAAAGUAAUUUAAAUUUUACUUUUAUUUUCAUUAUUUGAUUACACAAAAUAUAUAAGAAAUUAAUUUCAAUUAGAAUUUAAUAUCUUUUAUAAUGUAAAAUUUGAAUUCCACACCAAAGAGUGAAGAAUUUAAAUUCCUCUUAUGUUGAAAACCCAAACUUCCAAAAUUAACCUUCAAUAUUUUAACUUGUUUAUUGUUAUUAAUUAUUAUCAUUUAUAAUUUUAUUUUAUCAAUUUAAUAUUAUAAAUAAUUUUAUAUUAAUCAAAUUGAAUGAAUGAUUUAAAAAAUUUUAUAAAAUAAAUAACUUAUUUAUUUAUUUAAUAUGAAAAUAUAUAAAUAUAAAUUAAUCACUGCCGGACUUUUGCCUGACCACCGCCGGAUCUCCGCCGGAAAUCACCGAACCUCCGCGCGAAGCACCGCCAAUCUCGCCGAACCUCCACCGGAAUUUCACCGGAUCACCACCAGCACACUGGAACUUCGCCGGAACUUCACCGGACUUCCGUCGAAAAGUCACCGGCCACCGUUGACUUUUGUUGACCAGUGUUGACUUAUGUUGACCGGCUUUUAUUUAUAUUAAAUUAUAUUAAAUAGUUUAGUAUAUUAAAUUAUUUUAUAUUUUAUGUUAAAUAUAAAUCAUGAAUUGUUUUAGAAUUUUUUGAAAUUAAAAAAUUUUGGUAUUAAUAGUAAAUUAUAUUUUAUUACUAAUAUAGGUAAUUUAGUAUUUAAGGCAAAGGAUAGAUUUGUCCAAAGAAAAAAAUUACAAUUCAUUUCCCUAUCAAAUUUUAUGUCAAACCAAAUAAAUAAAAUUUAAUUCACUACUCUCUUCCACAGUUCCACUCCUCUCUUCUCCUUUCCCUUCCAUUCCACUCUUUUCCUCUCCUCCCCUUUCUUAAAACCAAACAUCACCUUAAUGUCUUAUACUCAUAAUUUUCAAUGAUUUGAAAUAUUUGUAAGUGAGUCCAUUUGAAAUGCAUAUAAUAGAGUCUAUUUAUAAACUAUUCAUAACUGUUCAACAAACCUUUUAUACAUACAUGACACUUAUGUUAUAAGGAAAGUUACGUCUUUCAAGAAUUAGUCAUAUCUCUCAGUGAAGCUGUUAUAAUUAAUUUAAAAUGUAUUAACUUAAUCUAAGAGAUACAUCCCUUUAGGGAUGACAAUAAACUCUGGAUCCGGCUGGAAUCCACAAAGAUCCAGAAGAUCUGGAUCCCAAAAAAAACCGAAUCUGCAUGUUAAAAAAUACGGAUCUUAAAAACCAAGAUCCGUGCGAUCUGGAUACGGAUCCAAGCGCAUCCAAAAAACCGGAUAUUCAGAUCCGCAUUAUUUUAUAAUUAAAUUAUUUAUUUAAUUAAAUUGCAAUUGAAAAUAUAUAUAAAUUGAAUUAUUUAUUUAAUAUGUAUAAGCAUAAUUAACUCUAUAAUCUUCAUUGACCAUGAAAAAUAUGUUAAAAAACUAAAAAAAUAUAAUAAUAAUAAUAAUUAGAGAAUAUUGUAAUGAAUCGGUUUACCUUAAAUUUUUUUUUUUUUUAAUGUUUGAUUCAUGUUGUGAAAUUAUUGUUUGUCAAUUUAUGGUGUUGUUGUACGUUAUUUAUUUUGAAUUGACGUUAAAUUGUUGAUUGUUAAAUUAUAAUUGAAUUUUAUUUGAUAUUAUUAGAUAAAUUAUUUAAUAUAAAAUUAUAUUUAAAUUUAUUAUUAAUCAUAUUCGGAUAUCCAGAAAAUCCACCCGCAAUCUGUGCGGAUAUUACCCGCAUCUGAAUCCACUUUUUUUUUUUUUGUUUUGCAGAUCCGAAAGUGCAUCCGAAUCCGGAACCGGAUUUUGUCAUCCUUAUUCCCUAUGAGUAAGUAUGUCCAUAACAAAGAUGUUCCAGAAUUGAAUACAAAGUACAGAAUUUCAACAUGGAAAGUUGUAACAAUAAAUCUCCCGAAGCAAAGGACCGUCGAGAAAACUGAGAGAUUCCAACACAAAACUUGAUGAAUGACUUCAAUUUGAGCAACGCAAUUAACUGAUUGUCAUAAGCAGAUGCAGAUAUCUGUCCGAGUUGCAGGUUGAAUAGGUUCCUGCUGGCAGUACUUCCCAUUAUCUUUACAUUUUCUUACAAAAAUCUGUGGGAUUGAACAUGGUCAGACCAAAAGAGAACAAAAUAUAUAGCAUAAUAAUUAAAGCACCAUGGGGCUAAAGGAAGGAGAGCCAAUGGUACUCGCGGCCGAUUCCUCCACGGCAUGCCUGUUCUAUUGCCUUUAUAUUUCCCGUUGAUGCUUUUCAUUUAACCAAUUCCAACCCUUCUCUGCUUCUCACACUUUGUAAUCAACGCUCUCGGUUCUUACUUCAUUUUCUCAACUUCCUAUUCCUGGCUCAAAUCUUUGAAAAAGGAGGGGAAAAAAAAGAGACAAAGAUCUUUCAUGAUAGGGAGGUUGUCAGAAAUUUUUUUCAACAGAGGCACAUUGAACAAAUAAUAUAGAUCAUGAGUGUAGUUUAACUGACUCAUAUAAUAACUAUCAUGACAGAAAGUAAUAAUAGAAAGCAGUAUAGUCCGGGUAAUAAUAGAAAGUAAGAAUUGAUGUUUAGUAGAUAAGGCUUCUCAUCUUCUUUUAUCUUUUUUUUUUUUUUAAAAAAAAGAUAUAAUACAAUUUCAAUAUAUUCAAAUAACAAUAUAUGAGAUUAUAACUAUAUUAUAUUAUUAUUUAUUGAUAGAUUUUUAUUAAUUACAAUUGUCAGCAGAAAAUUUUGUGUUUUGAAAAUGAUAUAAAAUGGUUUGAUGGUGUGUUUACUUUUCGGAUUGGGCAAUCGGAAUGAUUGACAGCGUUUACUUCGCAAAUAUGAAGUAGGAAUUGGAAUCAGAAUGAUGGGACCCACCACUAUUUGGGAACGGGGAAUGGGAGAUUGAUUCCUAUGGGGGAGGUGGGAAUGAGUCUCCCAUUCUCAGUAUUGACCAUUUUACCCUCUUCAUAUUUAAAAAUGCCCACUUUGUUCUCUUUUAUAAUUAAUUAAUAUAAUAUUAUA
rnacentral:lncRNA from 1 species